AGUCGAUGAAGGACGGGACUAACGCCGAUAUGCUUCGGGGAGCUGUAAGUAAGCUUUGAUCCGAAGAUUUCCGAAUGGGGAAACCCACCAUACGUAAUGGUAUGGUAUCCUUAUCUGAAUACAUAGGGUAAGGAAGACAGACUCAGGGAACUGAAACAUCUAAGUACCUGGAGGAAGAGAAAGCAAAUGCGAUUUCCUGAGUAGCGGCGAGCGAAACGGAACAUAGCCCAAACCAAGAGGCUUGCCUCUUGGGGUUGUAGGACAUUCUAUACGGAGUUACAAAGGAACGAGGUAGACGAAGCGACCUGGAAAGGUCCGUCGUAGAGGGUAACAACCCCGUAGUCGAAACUUCGUUCUCUCUUGAAUGUAUCCUGAGUACGGCGGAACACGUGAAAUUCCGUCGGAAUCUGGGAGGACCAUCUCCCAAGGCUAAAUACUCCCUAGUGAUCGAUAGUGAACCAGUACCGUGAGGGAAAGGUGAAAAGCACCCCGGAAGGGGAGUGAAAGAGAUCCUGAAACCGUGUGCCUACAAAUAGUCAGAGCCCGUUAA
rnacentral:rRNA from 1 species